UACGUAGGGUGCAAGCGUUGUCCGGAAUUAUUGGGCGUAAAGAGCUCGUAGGCGGUCUGUUGCGUCCGCUGUGAAAACUCGGGGCUUAACCCCGAGCCUGCAGUGGAUACGGGCAGACUAGAGGUAGGUAGGGGAGAAUGGAAUUCCCGGUGUAGCGGUGAAAUGCGUAGAUAUCGGAAGGAACGCCGGUGGCGAAAGCGACGUGCUGGACCCUUUCUGACGCUGAGGCGCGAAAGCCAGGGGAGCAAACGGG
rnacentral:rRNA from 1 species